UCUCCGUAGGUGAACCUGCGGAGGGAUCAUUACAGAGAUCAUGCCCUAACGGGUAGAUCUCCCACCCCAUGUUAUCAUCACUUUGUUGCUUUGGCGGGCCGUCAGGCCUCGGCUUGGCUACCGGCUCUCGCUGGUAAGCGCCCGCCAGAGAACCCCAAACCCUGAAUAUCAGUGUCGUCUGAGUACUAUAUAAUAGUUAAAACUUUCAACAACGGAUCUCUUGGUUCUG
rnacentral:misc_RNA from 1 species